CGGGGGAAUUAGAGAGAGGAGCCGCAGACGCAACAAACACCGGAGACGGCGCCUGUGACCAAAAGGGACGACACGGCGUGGUCUGGAAAAAAUGAUGAAGAUUUUAAGUAGUUUUUCCAUCAGCCUUUCCAUGCAUGGACCAUCUGAUAAUGUGAGAGACGCAGCUCCAUUAGAGCUGGACAAACAGGAGACUCUUUGAUUGCUUUGUCCCAUAAACAAUCUCUGAUUGUGCAGGAAAAGCAUUCCAACACAAUUGUUGUGCACAAAUGCUGCCAAAUGUCUGGUAGUUUAUCUAAAUCUGUAAUUGGUAAAUGAAUGGGACAGUUGUUCUCUGGUGUCAGUCUCAGUAAAUAGCAGUAGCAAGGAGAUUCAUUUUUUAAGAUGUGUACAUUUUUUCUCUGUGGCCUGUGGUGUGAACACACACAAGGCCUGCCAGGCAACCUCAGUCUUCAUUCAGGUCCACGCAGAGUUCAAGACGUCUGCCCAACCUUACUGAUGUGAUCUCUGUUUAGUAAAACCAUGAAAUACUUCCUAAAAGUGGAAUAUACACAAAUGUAAAUGGCAAAAGUGGAAUGAUACCAUAAAGUAUCUGCUUCUGCUGA